CCAGACUCCUACGGGAGGCAGCAGUGGGGAAUCUUCCGCAAUGGACGAAAGUCUGACGGAGCAACGCCGCGUGAGUGAUGACGGCCUUCGGGUUGUAAAGCUCUGUUAAUCGGGACGAAAGGCCUUCUUGCAAAUAGUGAGAAGGAUUGACGGUACCGGAAUAGAAAGCCACGGCUAACUACGUGCCAGCAGCCGCGGUAAUACGUAGGUGGCAAGCGUUGUCCGGAAUUAUUGGGCGUAAAGCGCGCGCAGGCGGAUAGGUCAGUCUGUCUUAAAAGUUCGGGGCUUAACCCCGUGAUGGGAUGGAAACUGCCAAUCUAGAGUAUCGGAGAGGAAAGUGGAAUUCCUAGUGUAGCGGUGAAAUGCGUAGAUAUUAGGAAGAACACCAGUGGCGAAGGCGACUUUCUGGACGAAAACUGACGCUGAGGCGCGAAAGCCAGGGGAGCGAACGGGAUUAGAUACCCCGGUAGUCCUGGCCGUAAACGAUGGGUACUAGGUGUAGGAGGUAUCGACCCCUUCUGUGCCGGAGUUAACGCAAUAAGUACCCCGCCUGGGGAGUACGACCGCAAGGUUGAAACUCAAAGGAAUUGACGGGGGCCCGCACAAG
rnacentral:rRNA from 1 species